UACAGAGGUCUCAAGCGUUGUUCGGAUUCAUUGGGCGUAAAGGGUGCGUAGGCGGCGCGGUAAGUCGGAUGUGAAAUCUCGGAGCUUAACUUCGAAACUGCAUUCGAUACUGCCGUGCUUGAGGACUGGAGAGGAGACUGGAAUUUACGGUGUAGCGGUGAAAUGCGUAGAUAUCGUAAGGAAGACCAGUGGCGAAGGCGGGUCUCUGGACAGUUCCUGACGCUGAUGCGCGAAAGCCAGGGGAGCGAACGGG
rnacentral:rRNA from 1 species